rnacentral:rRNA from 1 species
AGAGUUUGAUCAUGGCUCAGGAUGAACGCUAGCUACAGGCUUAACACAUGCAAGUCGAGGGGAAACGAUAUUGGAAGCUUGCUUCCGAUAGGCGUCGACCGGCGCACGGGUGAGUAACGCGUAUCCAACCUGCCCACCACUUGGGGAUAACCUUGCGAAAGUAAGACUAAUACCCAAUGACGUCUCUAGAAGACAUCUGAAGGAGAUUAAAGAUUUAUCGGUGAUGGAUGGGGAUGCGUCUGAUUAGCUUGUUGGCGGGGUAACGGCCCACCAAGGCAACGAUCAGUAGGGGUUCUGAGAGGAAGGUCCCCCACAUUGGAACUGAGACACGGUCCAAACUCCUACGGGAGGCAGCAGUGAGGAAUAUUGGUCAAUGGGCGAGAGCCUGAACCAGCCAAGUAGCGUGCAGGAAGACGGCCCUAUGGGUUGUAAACUGCUUUUAUAAGGGAAUAAAGUUAGUCUCGUGAGACUUUUUGCAUGUACCUUAUGAAUAAGGACCGGCUAAUUCCGUGCCAGCAGCCGCGGUAAUACGGAAGGUCCGGGCGUUAUCCGGAUUUAUUGGGUUUAAAGGGAGCGUAGGCCGGAGAUUAAGCGUGUUGUGAAAUGUAGACGCUCAACGUCUGCACUGCAGCGCGAACUGGUUUCCUUGAGUACGCACAAAGUGGGCGGAAUUCGUGGUGUAGCGGUGAAAUGCUUAGAUAUCACUCAGAACACCGAUUGCGAAGGCAUCUGGCGAAUCCGUAACUGACGCUGAGGCACGAAAGCGUGGGGAUAGAACAGGAUUAGAUACCCUGGUAUUCCACGCCGUAAACGAUGAUGGCUAACCGCCGGCGACACACUGUCGGUGGCCAAGCGAAAGCGAUAAGCCAUCCACCUGGGGAGUACGUCGGCAACGAUGAAACUCAAAGGAAUUGACGGGGGCCCGCACAAGCGGAGGAACAUGUGGUUUAAUUCGAUGAUACGCGAGGAACCAUACCCGGGCUCGAACGGCACCUGGAUCGCCCAGAGAUGGGCGAGUCUUCGGACAGGUGUCGAGGUGCUGCAUGGUUGUCGUCAGCUCGUGCCGUGAGGUGUCGGCUCAAGUGCCAUAACGAGCGCAACCCCUGCCGCCAGUUGCCAUCAGGUGAUGCUGGGCACUCUGGCGGGACUGCCACCGCAAGGUGUGAGGAGGGGGGGGAUGACGUCAAAUCAGCACGGCCCUUACGUCCGGGGCGACACACGUGUUACAAUGGCGGCCACAGAGGGAAGCUACCCCGCGAGGGGAUGCGGAUCUCGAAAAGCCGUCCCAGUUCGGACUGGAGUCUGCAACCCGACUCCACGAAGUUGGAUUCGCUAGUAAUCGCGCAUCAGCCAUGGCGCGGUGAAUACGUUCCCGGGCCUUGUACACACCGCCCGUCAAGCCAUGGAAGCCGCGGGCGCCUGAAGUCCGUGACCGUAAGGAGCGGCCUAGGGCGAAAGUGGUAACUGGGGCUAAGUCGUAACAAGGUA